rnacentral:rRNA from 1 species
UCAAGCGAAUAAGCGCACACGGUGGAUGCCUUGGCGGUCAGAGGCGAUGAAGGACGUGGCAGCCUGCGAAAAGUAUCGGGGAGCUGGCAACAAGCUUUGAUCCGGUAAUGUCCGAAUGGGGAAACCCACCCGCUUGCGGGUAUCCUGCAGUGAAUACAUAGCUGCUGGAAGCGAACCUGGUGAACUGAAAUAUCUAAGUAACCAGAGGAAAAGAAAUCAACCGAGAUUCCGUAAGUAGCGACGAGCGAACGCGGACUAGCCCUUAAGCUGAUUUGGUUCUAGGAAAACGCUCUGGAAAGAGCGGCCAUAGAAGGUGAUAGCCCUGUAUCUGAAAGGGCCAUUUCAGUGAAGACGAGUAGGGCGGGGCACGUGAAACCCUGUCUGAACAUGGGGGGACCAUCCUCCAAGGCUAAAUACUACUGACCGACCGAUAGUGAACCAGUACCGUGAGGGAAAGGCGAAAAGAACCCCGGAGAGGGGAGUGAAAUAGAACCUGAAACCGUGUGCGUACAAGCAGUAGGAGCUCUGCAAGGAGUGACUGCGUACCUUUUGUAUAAUGGGUCAGCGACUUACUGUUCGUGGCAAGCUUAACCGUAUAGGGGAGGCGAAGGGAAACCGAGUCUGAUAAGGGCGCAUAGUCGCGGGCAGUAGACCCGAAACCGGGUGAUCUAGUCAUGCCCAGGGUGAAGGUGCGGUAACACGCACUGGAGGCCCGAACCCACUCCCGUUGCAAAGGUAGGGGAUGAGGUGUGAUUAGGAGUGAAAAGCUAAUCGAACCCGGAGAUAGCUGGUUCUCCUCGAAAGCUAUUUAGGUAGCGCCUCAUAUGUAUCCUCUCGGGGGUAGAGCACUGUUAUGGCUAGGGGGUCAUCGCGACUUACCAAACCAUUGCAAACUCCGAAUACCGAGACGGACUGUAUGGGAGACACACGGCGGGUGCUAACGUCCGUCGUGAAAAGGGAAACAACCCAGACCCACAGCUAAGGUCCCAAAUUUUGUGCUAAGUGGAAAACCAUGUGGAAAGGCACAGACAGCCAGGAGGUUGGCUUAGAAGCAGCCACCCUUUAAAGAAAGCGUAAUAGCUCACUGGUCGAGUCGGUCUGCGGGGAAGAUUUAACGGGGCUAAGCACAGAACCGAAGCUUGGGGUGCAUAACUUUGUUAUGCGCGGUAGAGGAGCGUUCCGUAAGCCGUUGAAGGUGGAUUGAGAAGUCUGCUGGAGGUAUCGGAAGUGCGAAUGCUGACAUGAGUAACGAUAAUGCGGGUGAAAAACCCGCACGCCGAAAGCCCAAGGUUUCCUUGCGCAACGUUAAUCGGCGCAGGGUGAGUCGGCCCCUAAGGCGAGGACGAAAGUCGUAGUCGAUGGGAAGCAGGUUAAUAUUCCUGCACCUCGCGUAAGUGCGAUGGAGGGACGGAGAAGGUUAGGUGUACCAGGCGUUGGUUGUCCUGGGGAAAGGCGGUAGGUUUGGAUCUUUGGCAAAUCCGGGAUCCUUUAAGACCGAGCACCGAGACGAGCCUUUAUGGCGAAGUCACUGAUACCACGCUUCCAGGAAAAGCUCCUAAGCUUCAGCUUACGCAGACCGUACCGUAAACCGACACAGGUGGGUAGGAUGAGAAUUCUCAGGCGCUUGAGAGAACUCGGGUGAAGGAACUAGGCAACAUGGCACCGUAACUUCGGGAGAAGGUGCACCCUUUUUGGUGGCUCGUGCGAGCUAUAGCUGAAGAGGGUCGCAGUAACCAGGCCGCUGCGACUGUUUAUCAAAAACACAGCACUCUGCAAACACGAAAGUGGACGUAUAGGGUGUGACGCCUGCCCGGUGCUGGAAGGUUAAUUGAUGGGGUCAGCCGCAAGGCGAAGCUCUUGAUCGAAGCCCCAGUAAACGGCGGCCGUAACUAUAACGGUCCUAAGGUAGCGAAAUUCCUUGUCGGGUAAGUUCCGACCUGCACGAAUGGCGUAACGACAGCGGCGCUGUCUCCACCCGAGACUCAGUGAAAUUGAAAUCGCUGUGAAGAUGCAGCGUUCCCGUGGCAAGACGGAAAGACCCCGUGAACCUUUACUAUAGCUUUACACUGAACGUUGAGUUCGUCUGUGUAGGAUAGGUGGGAGGCUAUGAAACUGUGGCGCUAGCUGCAGUGGAGCCAUCCUUGAAAUACCACCCUGUCGUGCUUGACGUUCUAACCUGGGCCCAUUAUCUGGGUCGGGGACCGUGUAUGGUGGGUAGUUUGACUGGGGCGGUCUCCUCCUAAAGAGUAACGGAGGAGCUCGAAGGUACGCUCAGCGCGGUCGGACAUCGCGCACUGUGUGCAAAGGCAUAAGCGUGCUUGACUGCAAGAUCGACGGAUCAAGCAGGUAGGAAACUAGGACUUAGUGAUCCGGUGGUUCUGUAUGGAAGGGCCAUCGCUCAACGGAUAAAAGGUACUCCGGGGAUAACAGGCUGAUACCGCCCAAGAGUUCAUAUCGACGGCGGUGUUUGGCACCUCGAUGUCGGCUCAUCACAUCCUGGGGCUGUAGUCGGUCCCAAGGGUAUGGCUGUUCGCCAUUUAAAGUGGUACGCGAGCUGGGUUCAGAACGUCGUGAGACAGUUCGGUCCCUAUCUGCCAUGGGCGUUGGAGAUUUGAGAGGGGCUGCUCCUAGUACGAGAGGACCGGAGUGGACGAACCUCUGGUGUUCCGGUUGUCACGCCAGUGGCAUUGCCGGGUAGCUAUGUUCGGAAGCGAUAACCGCUGAAAGCAUCUAAGCGGGAAGCGCGCCUCAAGAUGAGAUCUCCCGGGGCACAAGCCCCCUGAAGGAACCAUGUAGACUACGUGGUUGAUAGGUCAGGUGUGUAAGUACAGCAAUGUAUUGAGCUAACUGAUACUAAUGAUCCGUGCGGCUUGACCAU